UACGUAGGGUGCGAGCGUUAAUCGGAAUUACUGGGCGUAAAGCGUGCGCAGGCGGUUUUGUAAGCCAGAUGUGAAGUCCCCGAGCUUAACUUGGGAACUGCAUUUGGGACUGCAAGGCUAGAGUACGGCAGAGGGGGGUAGAAUUCCUGGUGUAGCAGUGAAAUGCGUAGAUAUCAGGAGGAAUACCGAUGGCGAAGGCAGCCCCCUGGGUCGAUACUGACGCUGAGACGCGAAAGCGUGGGGAGCGAACAGG
rnacentral:rRNA from 1 species